rnacentral:rRNA from 1 species
GUGCCAGCCGCCGCGGUAAUACCGGCAGCUCGAGUGAUGGCCACUCUUAUUGGGCCUAAAGCGUCCGUAGCUGGCCGCGCAAGUCCGUCGGGAAAUCCAUCAGCACAACUGAUGGGCGUCCGGCGGAAACUGCGCGGCUUGGGACCGGAAGGAUCGAGAGGUACGUCCGGUGUAGGAGUGAAAUCCCAUAAUCCCGCACGGACCACCGAUGGCGAAAGCACUUCGAGAAAACGGAUCCGACAGUGAGGGACGAAAGCCAGGGUCUCCAACCGGAUUAGAAACCCGUGUAGUCC